GAUGUAAUUGGCUGUGUGAUGUCUGUAGGCCAGCCUAAGAUGACUAGCAAUGGGGUCAAAGAUACUUGAAUGCAAUUUGUCAAUCUCAGACUGAUGUGGCUGAUCAGGGUUGGUUGUGGCUAAGAAGCUAACCGUAAUAUAGCUCAGGGUUGUGACUAAGAAUUCUGUUAACAGACUAUAAAGCUCAAGUGCUGUUUUCCCCCAUGCGUUCUACCCCCAGCAACGUCUCACUCUUUUAUUACACUAAUCCAUCGCAAAAUGAACCACUGUUUAAAAAUAUUGUUAACAAUCAAUACCAACGAUUGUAUCUAAAUAUAACACUAUAUGUACUCGGCCUCAAGCUUAAGCCAACUUAUUUGUUACUGAAUUUGUUUUAGU